rnacentral:rRNA from 1 species
AAUCAACGCUGGCGGCAUGCCUCAGACAUGCAAGUCGAACGCGAAAUUUCCCUUCGGGGAGAAAGUAGAGUGGCGCACGGGUGAGUAACACGUAGGUAAUCUACCUUCGGAUGGGGAAUAACAGUCGGAAACGAUUGCUAAUACCGCAUAAUGCAGCGGCACCUAAUGGUGACAGUUGUUAAAGCGGGGGAUCGAAAGACCUCGCGUCUGAAGAGGAGCCUGCGGCGGAUUAGCUAGUUGGUAAGGUAAUGGCUUACCAAGGCUACGAUCCGUAACCGGCCUGAGAGGGCGGUCGGUCACACUGACACUGACAUACGGGUCAGACUCCUACGGGAGGCAGCAGUCGGGAAUUUUGGGCAAUGGGCGCAAGCCUGACCCAGCAACGCCGCGUGAAGGAU